rnacentral:rRNA from 1 species
GACGAACGCUGGCGGCGUGCCUAAUACAUGCAAGUCGAACGCUUCUUUCCUCCCUAGUGCUUGCACUCAAUUGGAAAGAGGAGUGGCGGACGGGUGAGUAACACGUGGGUAACCUACCCAUCAGAGGGGGAUGACACUUGGAAACAGGUGCUAAUACCGCAUAACAGUUUAUGCCGCAUGGCAUAAGAGUGAAAGGCGCUUUCGGGUGUCGCUGAUGGAUGGACCCGCGGUGCAUUAGCUAGUUGGUGAGGUAACGGCUCACCAAGGCCACGAUGCAUAGCCGACCUGAGAGGGUGAUCGGCCACACUGGGACUGAGACACGGCCCAGACUCCUACGGGAGGAAGCAGUAGGGAAUCUUCGGCAAUGGACGAAAGUCUGACAGAGCAACGCCGCGUGAGUGAAGAAGGUGUUCGGAUCGUAAAACUCUGUUGUUAGAGAAGAACAAGGACGUUAGUAACUGAACGUCCCCUGACGGUAUCUAACCAGAAAGCCACGGCUAACUACGUG